rnacentral:rRNA from 1 species
UACGAAGGGGCUAGCGUUGUUCGGAAUCACUGGGCGUAAAGCGCACGUAGGCGGAUCUUUAAGUCAGGGGUGAAAUCCCGAGGCUCCAACCUCGGAACUGCCUUUGAUACUGGGGAUCUCGAGUCCGGGAGAGGUGAGUGGAACUGGCGAGUGUAGAGGUGAAAUUCGUAGAUAUUACGCAAGAACACCAGUGGCGAAGGCGGCUCACUGGCCCGGAACGU